UCAACUAUAUGGAACACUUCCCAAUUCACUGUCAAAUCUCACACACCUUACCUUCCUAGACCUUUCUUAUAAUGAUUUAAGUGGUUCAAUUCCUUCAUACCUUUUUACACUCCCAUCAUUGGAGAAGAUUUGUCUUGAAUCCAACCAUUUUAGUGAAUUUAACGAAUUCAUAAAUGUGUCUUCCUCUGUGUUGGAGUUCCUUGAUUUAAGUAGCAAUAAUAUAUCAGGGCCUUUUCCAACAUCUAUCUUCCAGCUCAAUUCACUUUCUGUCCUCAGUCUUUCCUCUAACAAGUUGAAUGGAUUGCUUCAGCAAGAUGAGCUUUUGAAGCUUAGAAAUUUACAUAGUUUACACCUUUCAUACAACAACAUAUCAAUCAUUGAGAAUGAUGCAAAUGCUGAUCAGACAACCUUUCCCAAUUUUGAACGUCUUUUUUUGGCAUCCUGCAACUUGAAAACUUUCCCUAGAUUCUUGAGAAAUCAAUCAACAUUAAUCAAUCUAGACCUGUCAAAUAACCAAAUUCAAGGAGUUCUGCCCAACUGGAUUUUGACACUACAAGUUCUUCAAUACCUUAAUAUUUCACACAAUUUUCUCACAGAAAUGGAAGGCUCUUCGCAAAAUAUUGCUUCCAACCUUUUAUAUAUUGACCUUCAUAACAACCACAUUCAAGGAAUACCUGUUUUUCUUGAAUAUCUUGAAUAUUUGGAUUACUCGACCAACAAAUUCUCUGUUAUCCCGCAUGAUAUUGGUAAUUACCUGUCUUACACACAGUUUCUAUCUCUUUCUAAUAAUAGUUUACAAGGAAGCAUCCCUGAUUCCCUUUGCAAUGCUUCAUAUCUGCAAGUGCUUGAUCUUUCCUUCAACAACAUCUCAGGAACAAUUUCUCCUUGUUUAAUUACAAUGACUAGUACCCUUGAGGCAUUAAAUUUGAGGAAUAACAAUCUAAAUGGCACUAUACCAGAUAUGUUUCCAACUUCUUGUGUUGCAAGCUCUUUGAACUUCCAUGGAAAUCUCUUACAUGGGCCGAUUCCCAAGUCUCUCUCCAACUGCUCAUCGUUAAAGGUAUUGGACAUUGGAUCAAAUCAAAUUGUUGGUGGUUUUCCAUGCUUUUUGAAAAACAUACCAACACUUAGUGUCUUGGUUUUGCGAAACAAUAAAUUUCAUGGUUCCAUAGAAUGUUCAGAUUCUCUAGAAAAUAAGCCUUGGAAAAUGAUUCAAAUUGUGGACAUUGCUUUCAACAAUUUCAAUGGAAAAAUACCAGAAAAAUAUUUCACAACAUGGGAAAGAAUGAUGCAAGAUGAAAACGAUUUGAAAUCAGACUUCAUCCAUAUGAGAUUUAACUUCUUCUCAUAUUACCAAGAUAGUGUGACAGUUUCCAAUAAAGGUCAAGAACUUAAGUAUGAUAAAAUUCUAACAAUCUUUACAGCCAUUGAUUUCUCAUCCAAUCAUUUUGAAGGACAAAUACCAGACGUGCUAAUGAAAUUUAAAGCACUCCUUGUUUUCAACUUUUCAAACAAUGAUUUUUCUGGUGAAAUCCCAUUAACUAUUGCAAACCUGAAACAGUUAGAGUCCUUGGACCUCUCAAACAACUCCUUGGUUGGUGAAAUUCCUCUGCAACUUGCAAGCAUGUCAUUCCUUUGUUAUUUGAACCUUUCGUUCAAUCAUUUGGUUGGGAAGAUCCCAACAGGUACCCAACUUCAGUCAUUUGAAGCAUCUUCGUUUGAAGGUAAUGAUGGCCUAUAUGGACCUCCAUUAACUGAAACACCAAAUGAUGGGCCGCACCCACAACCAGCAUGUGAGAGGUUUGCUUGUUCAAUUGAAUGGAAUUUUUUAAGUGUGGAAUUGGGAUUUAUUUUUGGACUUGGAAUCAUCGUUGGUCCCCUCUUGUUUUGGAAGAAAUGGAGAGUAAGUUAUUGGAAACUCGUAGACAAAAUUCUAUGUUUGAUUUUCCGGAGGAUGCAUUUUGAAUAUGUAACUGAUAGAGGACAGACAUACAGAAUUUUAAGGUGGUGAUAGAAUUAAUGCUAGGGAUUGUGAUAACUAUUAAAAUAAUGUUUUGUAUUUAUAUUGAAGUUGUACUUUGUGUGUAUUAACUUUCAUUGAGAAUUGUGGUGAUAGUGUUUCAUUCAAAACAGAAAUAUAUAAGUUAAUUUAUAACUAUAAACAUCAUAAUCAAACUGGAAACACAAAUAGGAUACAACUCCAAAAUCUAGAUAUAGCCAAUUACUUCAUUUUGGUAAAACAAUUGCUUAAUUUGUUUUUCUGAUCGUCAACUGGAUAAUGACAUCAUUUGACAUACACAUGGAUACACCAAAUGAUAUAUUACUAUAGUGUUUUUGGUCUUAUUUUUAAAUUAGUUCAUGUGAUUUCCAAAUUUUGAAAGGCGGUGAUCAUAACAUAAUAGUAUAUGAGAGUUGACAUACAUUUACUUCCUCAGGGGUAUCAGAAGCAACAUGAUAGAAGUCUAUUCAACUUUGGUGUCUCACUAGAAGCAAGAUUGGAAGGAUGGGUGAACAGAAGCCAUUGCAGAAGCCAUAAGCUAAGGGAAUAAAUUGUUCCAAAACCAUAGGUGAUUAAGCCAUUCUGAAUGUCAUUUACAUGGUUAUAUCAGAGAUUAUAUACUUAAGUUGUUGUGUGAAUGGUUCAGGAGCAGUUUAUGCAUGUUUGGAUGUAUGGGGUAGAGCUUGGGAUGAUUCUGAAAUCUCUAGAAGCAAUAAGCUGAAGUUAAGCUAUUCUUGUUUUUUAGCUUAAUUUGUUUGGUGAAGGGUUUCAAGGGGAUAGCAGAAGUGGUUUUAUUGUUGUUAGGAGCAUCAAAUUGAUGGUGUUGCUGUUAGGAGCAUCAAAGGAAGAAUUGUAACACCCUAAACCCCUUAAGCGAUAAAUUACGUAAAUAACACAAAUCAUGCAAAGGAUUUAGAUGCUAAUUCUUCUAUAAGUUCAACAUGCAUAAAAAUUUCUCACACAUCGCAGCGGAAUAAUUAUAUCAUCACAUAGACAGCUAAAUAAAACAUCUCCAAGUAGCCAUGUUACAUAAUCAUACUACAUCACCAAAUAUAAAACCUCAACUCAAUAUACUGAGUGAGUAAAAUCUCCACAAGUCAUAAAGGUAAAUAAACAGACAGACACCCCUAAAUCAGAGUCCGACUCUAAGACUCCUAAAGCAAAACGAUGUAGCUCCAAAGCUAACAUCCAACAACUCACCAAGCUAAAGCAAACUAUUCAUGCACGCCGUCUACCCAUUCAUAAGAAUAAGGUAGGCGGUCAACCAAACGACCAUUAGGGGUUAGUUCACAAUCACAAUAAACAUAAUCAAAUGAAAGUAAAUUGCAUAAUUUAAAUUCACAUGUUUAAAAACCUCAACAUCAUCAUAAAUCAUUGAGUAUGCAAGCACAAUCAAGGAAGGAAUACUAUUCACCUUUUUCGAGUAUUCACGACGAUCACCAAAAUUUCACCAAUGCACAUAUACACUGAUUCACAUAUAUUCAAGUAUGACUUGACUCACCAAAAUUAAAAUCUCUAAACAAAAAUCUCUAGAUUCUUUUAACACAAAAUCUAUUUUUUUAAAUCUAUUUAUAGGAUUAGCUUUUCUCAAAAUCUUUUUUUUUUUUUUUAGCUGAAACAAACGCACUGAAUAGCCACUUCAAAGUAGAGAUAAAAAAGGAACUAACAAUGUUGGCCUUCCCUUUCAAGAAUCAAAUCAAAUUUGAAACACAUAAAGAUAAACGCUUAGGAUUUGAUUUUCAAACAACCACUUCUUUGUUAAUUACAUGGAAGAAAUUUGUAAUUUGACUACUCAUUCUGCUAUUUUUCCUACAGAUUGUCAUGACUAUCUUGAUAUGUAUAUUAGCAAGUUCUUAAGGGAUAUAAUCAAGAGAACUAUUCGUGGCUAUAUCAUUGUACAAGGAAGGGCUGAUGCACCAUGAAUCUUGGUGGAGUAAAGGUAUUACUCUUUCAGGGGGAAUUCAUACUAAGAAAUCUACUAGGAAUUUCAAUGAAUCUAAGAGUAGUAAAAGUUAUCAACCAGGGAGUUUGCAAAAGAAUACAAUUCUUUGUGAAAAGAAAUGGAGAAUUUCUGUGUAUUUCAUUCUUUAAUUCAUGAUCAGCUUCCAAUUUUUAAAUGCUGCAACAGAAAUUACAAGAAGUGAGUACAGUGUCACCAUAUAUUAAUUCUAUUAUUUAUGACAAAAAUGAUUAUACAAUUCAAUUCAACAACAAAAAUCAAAAUCUAUAGAAAAUGAUUAUCAUCUGCUUUAAAAUGACUAUGAUUUCUCCACUUGAGUGCUAAUUGAGAAAAAAUGUUUGUAGAAGAACCAUCUUCUUUGAGUGCAUUAGAAGCGGCUCCUACAAGUGACCCUACAUUGACUUGCCUGAUUAACUUUCUUGAUUCCAAUCUCCUACAAUGCUUAAAUUCUUUGAUACAGAUACAAUGAACUUUCCUAUCAUUUGACUGGUGACAACAACAUAGCAUGGCUUAAAUUCUUUACAGCCAUUGAUUUCUCAUCCAAUUAUUUUGAAGGACCAAUACCAGAGGUCCUAAUGAAAUUUAAAGCAGUCCAUGUUCUCAACUUUUCAAACAAUGCUUUUUCUGGUGAAAUCCCCUCCACUAUUGCAAGCCUAGAACAGAUAGAGUCCUUGGACCUCUCAAAUAACUCUUUGGUUGGUGAAAUUCCUGUGCAGCUUGCAAGCAUGUCAUUCCUUUCUUAUUUGAAGCAUCUUCGUUUGAAGGUAAUGAUGGACUAUAUGGUCCUCCACUGAAUGUAACACUAUAUGGUAAAAGGCAAGAUGAACUGCACCCAUAACCAGCAUAUGAAAGGUUAGGUUGUUCAAUUGAUUGGAAUUUUUUAAGUGUGGAGUUGGGAUUUGUUUUUGGGUUCGGAAUCAUCAUUGGUCCCCUCUUGUUUGGAAGAAAUGGAGAGUAAGUUAUUGGAAACUCGUAGACAAGAUUCUCUGUUUGAUUUUCCGGAGGAUGCAUUUUGAAUAUGUAAUUGAUAGAGGAAAGACAUACAAAAUUUUAAGGUGGUGAUAGCAUUAGUGCUAAGGAUUGUGAUAAAUAUUAAAUCGAUGUUUUCUAUUUUCAUUUAAGUUGUAUUUUGUGUUUACUCCUUUGUGUGUGAUGAUAUGUAUUAUAACUUUGAAUGAACAUUCUAUAAAGUUUAAAUAAAACAGUGUCAUUGAGAAUUAUGGUAAUAGUGUUUCAUUCAAGAUACAAAUAUCGAUUUAUAACUAUAAUCAUCAUUCUCUUAAAAUAAAAUAAAAACUAUAAACAUCAUAAUCAAACCGAAAACCCAAAGGAAAGAUUUAUAACUCGAAAAAGGGAAACCAAAGAGGAUACAACUCCCAAAUCAUGAUAUAGAUCCUUUAUAACAUUUGUUCGAUUUGAUUCUGAUUGUCAGCUAGAUAUUGAUACCAUUUGACAUACACAAUUGAUACCAUUCUCUGCCUAAUUAACAUCUUGUUAACGUGGAUUUCUUUUUGAGUUGAACUUGUUAACAUGUUGUCAACUGUUUUAUUCACAUAUUUUUAAAUUAAGAUAUCCAAUUAUUAUGUUCUAAAUUUUGAAGGUUUAACUCAGUUCAUAUGAUUUCCAAAUUUUGAAAGGGGGUGAACAUAAUUACAAUAAUAAUGCAAGCUUUAGAAGUAGAAGUUUAUCCAACAUAAUAGUAUUUGAGAGUUUAUCCAACACUAAGUAUAAUUCGCUACGAGAAGCGAAGCUCUCUUCGUGGCCUAUUCUUUCCCAUUCAAAAUUCUCUUCAGUUGAGUUUUUAUAGUGAUGUUGAUUGGGCAGGAUGCCCUGAUACUCGACGCUCUGUCACUGGUUGGUGGAUGUUUUUUUGGCUCUUCAUUGAUCUUGUGGAAAAGUAAGAAGCAAGCGAGAGUCUCUAAAUCUUCUACUUAAUCUGAGUAUUGUGUCAUGUAUGCUGCUUGUUCUGAAAUAAUUUGGCUUCGUGGUCUUUUGGCUGAACUUGGAUUUCCUCAAAUAGAGUCGAUCUCACUUUAUGCUGACAAUACAAGUGUCAUUGACCAAUCGCAUCAAUUUGAAAGGGGUGUGAAUAAGAAGUCCUCUUUAUUAUAUUUAUUAGUUUGUUUCUAGAAAUAAGGACACAAAUCAGAAAUUGAUUUGUUCUCGUUAAUUAUAAUUACUUACUGUAAUCACCUGUAUAGCCUUAUAAAAUCUAUAUAUACACAAGAAAUAACAAUGAAAAAGGUAUCAAGCCAAUAUUCGUGACACACACUCCCACAAACGUACUCCACGCAUAUCCACAUGCUUUAAUAUCUAGAGAAGUGCUAUAUGGUGCGAGAGACAACUCAUGACAACACCAUGAAUGUUUUGAUUUAUCACAUAUCACAUGGACUUUAAGUAUGGAUUUCACACAGCUGACAUACCUUCAAUUCAACACAUGCUAAAGCUAAACCACACCUACUAGCUAUAUAUUUAGCCAAGUUUACCUACACUCAAUGUUUCUACAACCAUACAGGGCCGGACCUUGAGGUGUGCAAACAGUUCAAUGGAGCUAGGCCUCCUCAAUGUACUAACCAUUCUGAAAAUUAGUGCUCUGAUAAUAAAACAGACUUGAUUUGGUGUUUAUAGGUGGAAAUAUUUUUAAGAUGUGAAGUAGUUUGCUAUAGCAGUAGUAUACAGAGACAAUAACUCAAGGAAGAUGAUUAUUUUGAAGAAAUGGGAAUGAUAUGUGGAGCUAUUUAUUGUUGAACAUUGCACACGGUUCAUAUUUGCUCUUUUGAGCUACUUGUAAAAAAAAAGUUAAAUAGAACAUUGUUCUUUUAAAAAAAAAUACAUUUUUAUUUUAUUACGGACCUCUUUUCACUUACAGAGCCGAGCCUCCAAAUUUGUAGGAACGGCCCUGCAACCAUAUAUCACCAUUGCAACUUAUAGAACUACCUUACAUUUCUCUAUGUGGCUCCAUUAUAGAGAGAAAAGCUUUUCCAUAAUCUGGAGUAUAUGUUAUUAUAUAUUAACGAUCAUAGUAGGUUUUAUUCAAGUGCCAAUUUUAGUGGUCGCGAUGGUUAUUUUUUGGAAAGCCUGUGUUGUUAUUGUUUGGAAAGCCUGUGUUGUCGCGCAUGGAAAAAAGAGAUUGUCUGCUUGGAAUAGUCGCUUUCUUUAUUUUAGUGGUCGUUUGAUUCUUCUAAAAUUUGUCCUAACUUCACUCCUUGUCCAUGUUCGUUCCUUCUUCAAAGUUCCGUCAAGUAUAAUCUCUUCUCUUGAAUCUAUGUUGAAUAAAUUUGUUUGCAGUGGAUACGUCUUGUGCUAAAAAUAUCACAUUGUUGGUGUUAAUAUAUUCUAUUUUUGCAUAUUAAAAAAAUUAUUUUUUUCUUUUUUACGUAUGGUUUUGAUGAUGACAUUUGUUUCUUCCUCUUGGUGCCAUAUAGUUUUGUUGAAUGCAAUUUUGUUGGCUUUUUCAAGAGAAAGAUGCUAUUGGCCAUUGAUAAUACUACAAAGGGACUUAUCAUCAGCCAUGCCGGCUUUACACGUUCUUUACCAUAAUCAUUAAGUCAAGAGUCUCUUUCCUUACAAUAUGAUUUAUAUUUCUGUCUCUUCAGAAACUAAUCCUUAAAAGAAAUUUUUUUGCCAAAAUAUUUUUUAAGAAAAGCUUAGACAAACAUAACUGGAAACAUAAGGUAUAUUGCUAAGAAGGUUCCCUAAAAUUGAAUGGGAAAGGUGAGACUACCUGUCAAAAAUGAAUGGAAGAGUUGGAAGUCAUGGUGUGAGUGACCACACUGCUCUUCUUCAAAGAAACUUCUCUUGUACUCUAGCUAUUUGCCUGUUUGCAACUAUAUAUAUAAUACCAUUUAUCACAUACAUCAUAUACAUCAAACUAAAAUUGUGUCUUGAGAGUAAUCAGAGAGAGCAAUGAGAAUUUCAUUCCUUCUCUGUUACUACUGCAUAUAUAUCACUCAUGCCUCAGCCAUAUGUCUUGAGGAUCAACAAUCAUUGUUGCUCCAAUUCAAAAAAAAUCUCACAUUUCAUCCUGAAGGUUCUACCAAACUAAUAUUGUGGAAUAAAACCACUGCUUGCUGCAAUUGGAGUGGUGUAACUUGUGACAAUGAGGGACAUGUUAUUGGCCUUGACCUUAGUGACGAAGAUAUCCAUGGUGGAUUUAACGAUUCAAGCAGUCUUUUCAAUCUCCUACAUCUCAAAAAACUGAACUUGGCUUAUAACAAUUUCAAUUCUCUAAUUCCAUCAGGAUUCAGCAAAUUGGAGAAGUUGACUUAUCUGAAUUUGUCAAAGGCUAGCUUUGUGGGGCAGAUUCCAAUUGAGAUUUCACAACUUACAAGGUUGGUUACUCUUGAUCUCUCUUUUGAUGUCGUUCGCACGAAACCUAAUAUCCCAAAUUUACAAAAGUUUAUCCAAAAUCUCACCAAUAUUAGGCAACUGUAUCUAGAUGGUAUAACUAUAACAUCUCAGAGACAUAAAUGGAGCAAUGCUUUGAUACCUUUGCGUGACCUACAAGAAUUGAGCAUGUCUAAUUGUGAUUUGUCAGGAUCCCUUGAUUCUUCCCUAUCAAGACUACAGAACCUGUCAGUCAUUAUUCUUUAUCGAAACAAUUUUUCAUCCUCAUUGCCAGAAACAUUUGCCAAUUUUAAAAACCUAACCACCCUCAAUCUUCGAAAGUGUGGAUUGAUCGGUACAUUUCCACAAAAGAUCUUCCAAAUUAGGACACUGUCAGUUAUUGACUUAUCUGGCAACCCCAAUCUCCAAGUUUUUUUUCCAGACUACUCACUUAGUGAAUCUCUUCAUAGCAUUAUAUUGCGUAACACAAGCUUCUCUGGACCACUUCCACACAACAUCGGUAACAUGACAAACUUAUUGGAAUUGGAUCUUUCUUACUGUCAACUAUAUGGAACACUUCCCAAUUCACUGUCAAACCUCACACAACUUAUAUGGCUAGACCUUUCUCAUAAUGAUUUAAGUGGUGUAAUUCCAUCAUACCUUUUUACACUCCCAUCAUUGGAGGAGAUUUAUCUUGCAUCCAACCAGUUUAGUAAAUUUGACGAAUUCAUAAAUGUGUCUUCCAAUGUGAUGGAAUUCCUUGAUUUAAGUAGCAAUAAUCUAUCAGGGCCUUUUCCAACAUCUAUCUUCCAGCUCCGUUCACUUUCUUUCCUCUAUCUUUCCUCUAAUAGGUUGAAUGGGUCACUACAACUAGAUGAGCUUUUGAAGCUUAGUAAUUUAUUAGGACUAGACCUUUCAUACAACAACAUAUCAAUAAAUGAGAAUGAUGCAAAUGCUGACCAGACUGCCUUUCCCAAUUUUGAACUUCUUUAUUUAUCAUCCUGCAACUUGAAAACUUUCCCUAGAUUCUUGAGAAAUCAAUCAACAUUGCUAUCUCUAGACCUUUCACAUAACCAAAUUCAAGGAGCAGUGCCCAAUUGGAUUUGGAAACUACAGAGUCUUCAACAACUUAAUAUUUCACACAAUUUUCUCACAGAAUUGGAAGGUUCUUUGCAAAAUCUUACUUCCAUUUGGGUAUUAGACCUUCAUAACAACCAAAUUCAAGGAACAAUACCUGUUUUUCCUGAAUUUAUUCAGUAUUUGGAUUACUCAACCAAUAAAUUCUCUGUUAUCCCACAUGAUAUUGGUAAUUACUUGUCUUCCAUAUUGUAUCUAUCUCUUUCAAAUAAUAAUUUACAUGGAACCAUCCCUCAUUCCCUCUUCAAAGCUUCAAAUCUUCAAGUGCUUGAUAUUUCCUUCAACAACAUUUCUGGAACAAUUCCUCCAUGUUUAAUCACAAUGACUAGUACCCUUCAGGCAUUAAAUUUGAGGAAUAACAAUCUAAAUAGCUCCAUACCAGAUAUGUUUCCAACUUCUUGUGUUGCAAGCUCUUUGAACUUCCAUGGAAAUCUCUUACAUGGGCCAAUUCCCAAGUCCCUCUCCCACUGCUCAUCGUUAAAGCUAUUGGACAUUGG
rnacentral:lncRNA from 1 species